CCCUUAGAUGUUCUGGGCCGCACGCGCGCUACACUGACGAUGUCAGAGAGUGUCUCCUUCACCGAGAGGUGUGGGUAAUCUUUUAAACAUCGUCGUGCUGGGGAUAGAUCAUUGCAAUUUUUGAUCUUAAACGAGGAAUUCCUAGUAAGCGCGAGUCAUCAGCUCGCGCUGAUUACGUCCCUGCCCUUUGUACACACCGCCCGUCGCUACUACCGAUUGAAUGGUUUAGUGAGGCCUUCUGACUGGCGCCGCUACGCUGGCAACAGAGCGGCGGAUGCCGGGAAGUUGGUCAAACUUGAUCAUUUAGAGGAAGUAAAAGUCGUAACA
rnacentral:rRNA from 1 species